GUCUGACCUGCCCACUGAAUAAUUAAAUGGCCGCAGUAUUCUAACUGUGCAAAGGUAGCAUAAUCAUUAGUCUUUUAAUUGAAGGCUGGAAUGAAUGGUUGAAUGAAAUAUUAACUGUUUCAAUUUAAUUUAUUAUAGAAUUUUAUUUUUUAGUCAAAAAGCUAAAAUUUAUUUAAAAGACGAGAAGACCCUAUAAAUCUUUAUAAUUAUUUAAAUUAUUAAUAUAUUGAUAAUUUAAUUUUUAAUUUAAUUAAUUAUUUUAUUGGGGUGAUAUUAAAAUUUACAAAACUUUUAAUUAUUAAUUAACAUGAAUUAAUGAAUUGUUGAUCCAUUUUUAUGAUUAAAAAAUUAAGUUACUUUAGGGAUAACAGCGUAAUUUUUUUAGAGAGUUCAUAUUGAUAAAAAAGAUUGCGACCUCGAUGUUGGAUUAAGAUAUAGAUUUAGGUGCAGCAGUUUAAGUCU
rnacentral:rRNA from 1 species